rnacentral:rRNA from 1 species
AGAGUUUGAUCCUGGCUCAGGAUGAACGCUGGCGGUAUGCGUAACACAUGCAAGUCGAACGAAGUUUUUCGGAACUUAGUGGCGGACGGGUGAGUAACGCGUGAGAAUCUGCCUUAAGGAUUGGGACAACAGUGGGAAACCGCUGCUAAUACCAAAUAUGCCUUUUAGUGAAACGGGUAAAACCGCCUUAAGAUGAGCUCGCGUCUGAUUAGCUAGUUGGUGUGGUAAGAGCGCACCAAGGCAACGAUCAGUAGCUGGUCUGAGAGGACGACCAGCCACACUGGGACUGAGACACGGCCCAGACUCCUACGGGAGGCAGCAGUGAGGAAUUUUCCGCAAUGGGCGAAAGCCUGACGGAGCAAUACCGCGUGAGGGAGGAAGGCUCUUGGGUUGUAAACCUCUUUUCUCAGAGAAGAAUAAUGACGGUAUCUGAGGAAUAAGCAUCGGCUAACUCCGUGCCAGCAGCCGCGGUAAUACGGAGGAUGCAAGCGUUAUCCGGAAUGAUUGGGCGUAAAGGGUCUGUAGGUGGUUGUUCAAGUCUGCUGUUAAAGCGUCUGGCUUAACCAGAUAAAGGCGGUGGAAACUGAACGACUAGAGUGCGGUAGGGGUAGAGGGAAUUCCCAGUGUAGCGGUGAAAUGCGUAGAUAUUGGGAAGAACACCUGUGGCGAAAGCGCUCUACUGGACCGCGACUGACACUGAUGGACGAAAGCUAGGGGAGCGAAUGGGAUUAGAUACCCCCGUAGUCC